rnacentral:rRNA from 1 species
CCAUCGCCAUCGAGCAUCGCGACGGGGGGACCCCAAGUGCCACUCUUAACGGGGUGGCUUUUCUUAAGUGUAAAAAGCUUUUGGAAUAAGGGCUGGGCAAGACCGGUGCCAGCCGCCGCGGUAACACCGGCAGCUCUAGUGGUAGCCAUUUUUAUUGGGCCUAAAGCGUUCGUAGCCGGUUUGAUAAGUCUCUGGUGAAAUCCUAUAGCUUAACUGUGGGACUUGCUGGAGAUACUAUUAGACUUGAGGUCGGGAGAGGUUAGCGGUACUCCCAGGGUAGGGGUGAAAUCCUGUAAUCC